rnacentral:rRNA from 1 species
AUUGAACGCUGGCGGCAGGCCUAACACAUGCAAGUCGAACGAGUGGCGGACGGGUGAGUAAUGUCUGGGAAACUGCCUGAUGGAGGGGGAUAACUACUGGAAACGGUAGCUAAUACCGCAUCCCAUCAGAUGUGCCCAGAUGGGAUUAGCUAGUUGGUGGGGUAAAGGCUCACCAAGGCGACGAUCCCUCGCUGGUCUGAGAGGAUGACCAGCCACACUGGGACUGAGACACGGUCCAGACUCCUACGGGAGGCAGCAGUGGGGAAUAUUGCACAAUGGGCGAAAGCCGGAUACAGCCAUGCCGCGUGUAUGAAGAAGGCCUUCGGGUUGUAAAGUACUUUCAGCUGGGAGGCGUUACCCGCAGAAGAAGCACCGGCUAACUCCGUGCCAGCAGCCGCGGUAAUAC